rnacentral:rRNA from 1 species
AACCUUCGGGGAACGAUAACGGCGUCGAGCGGCGGACGGGUGAGUAAUGCCUAGGAAAUUGCCCUGAUGUGGGGGAUAACCAUUGGAAACGAUGGCUAAUACCGCAUAAUACCUACGGGUCAAAGAGGGGGACCUUCGGGCCUCUCGCGUCAGGAUAUGCCUAGGUGGGAUUAGCUAGUUGGUGAGGUAAUGGCUCACCAAGGCGACGAUCCCUAGCUGGUCUGAGAGGAUGAUCAGCCACACUGGAACUGAGACACGGUCCAGACUCCUACGGGAGGCAGCAGUGGGGAAUAUUGCACAAUGGGCGCAAGCCUGAUGCAGCCAUGCCGCGUGUGUGAAGAAGGCCUUCGGGUUGUAAAGCACUUUCAGUCGUGAGGAAGGUAGUGUAGUUAAUAGCUGCAUUAUUUGACGUUAGCGACAGAAGAAGCACCGGCUAACUCCGUG